rnacentral:rRNA from 1 species
AGCAGCCGCGGUAAUUCCAGCUCCAAUAGCGUAUAUUAAAGUUGUUGUGGUUAAAAAGCUCGUAGUUGAACCUUGGGCCUGGCUGGCCGGUCCGCCUCACCGCGUGUACUGGUCCGGCCGGGCCUUUCCCUCUGUGGAACCCCAUGCCCUUCACUGGGUGUGGCGGGGAAACAGGACUUUUACUGUGAAAAAUUAGAGUGCUCCAGGCAGGCCUAUGCUCGAAUACAUUAGCAUGGAAUAAUAGAAUAGGACGUGUGGUUCUAUUUUGUUGGUUUCUAGGACCGCCGUAAUGAUUAAUAGGGACAGUCGGGGGCAUCAGUAUUCAAUUGUCAGAGGUGAAAUUCUUGGAUUUAUUGAAGACUAACUACUGCGAAAGCAUUUGCCAAGGAUGUUUUCAUUAAUCAAGAACGAAAGUUAGGGGAUCGAAGACGAUCAGAUACCGUCGUAGUC